rnacentral:rRNA from 1 species
UGCCAGCAGCCGCGGUAAUACGGAGGGGGUUAGCGUUGUUCGGAAUUACUGGGCGUAAAGGGCGCGUAGGCGGAUUGAUCAGUUUGGUGUGAAAGCCCGGGGCUCAACCUCGGAACUGCACUAAAUACUGUCAAUCUAGAAUCCCGGAGGGGAGUGUGGAAUUUCUAGUGUAGAGGUGAAAUUCGUAGAUAUUAGAAAGAACACCAGUGGCGAAGGCGACACUCUGGACGGGUAUUGACGUUGAGGCGCGAAAGCGUGGGGAGCAAACAGGAUUAGAUA